GAUCCUGGCUCAGGAUGAACGCUAGCUACAGGCUUAACACAUGCAAGUCGAGGGGCAGCAGGAUUGAAGCUUGCUUCAAUUGCCGGCGACCGGCGCACGGGUGAGUAACGCGUAUCCAACCUUCCGUACACUCAGGGAUAGCCUUUCGAAAGAAAGAUUAAUACCUGAUGGUAUCUUAAGCACACACGUAAUUAAGAUUAAAGAUUUAUCGGUGUACGAUGGGGAUGCGUUCCAUUAGGUAGUAGGG
rnacentral:rRNA from 1 species